UACGUAGGGGGCAAGCGUUGUCCGGAUUCAUUGGGCGUAAAGAGCGUGUAGGCGGCCAGGUAGGUCGGUUGUGAAAACUGGAGGCUCAACCUUCAGAGGUCGACCGAAACCAUCUGGCUAGAGUCCGGGAGAGGAGAGUGGAAUUCCUGGUGUAGCGGUGAAAUGCGUAGAUAUUGGGAGGAACACCAGUGGCGAAGGCGGCUCGCUGGACCGGUUCUGACGCUGAUGCGCGAAAGCGUGGGGAGCAAACGGG
rnacentral:rRNA from 1 species